UUUGAUCCCCCUUUUUUCUGUGGUGGUUUUAAUUUUCCGUGACUGAGCUAUAUUCACAAAGAUUGCACCUGUAAUGGCAAUUCAGGAAGCAGAAAGUUUAAUUUUUAAUUGAAAAGACUUCGAAAUUCAUGCUUCUUGUAUUUGGCUUUAGGGUUAAAUACUUUUUUUUUUCUUCCUUGAGUAGUCUGCUGGACUUAAGAAUGGCUUUCCACGUGUUUUUAGCCAUUUUAUGAAUUUACUUAUUCUUGUUAAAUCUGU
rnacentral:misc_RNA from 1 species